rnacentral:lncRNA from 1 species
AGGCAAGCCAGUCCCAUCCUUCCCAGCAACUGGGACUUUCCGGGCAGGGCUCCCCAGCGCGGGUUCAGCUAAUUAAGGAAGCAAUUAGCCUCCCCUGAGGCUAUUCAUGCUUCCUCACCCACAGUUCUCAGGUUCUGUGAGACCAGAGCCUCAGUCUCCCGUGAGCAGAGGGUGUGUGUGUGGCUGCCACUAUUCUGCAGACACGCUGGCUCCACCCCAGAGAGUUGCAGGGCCAGGAAAUCUGCAUUUAAACAGACCCUGGCUCUCACACUUCGGAAACUGCCCGAAGCACCUCUCAAAUAUGGGACAGGUGCUUAGGCCGAAAAUCAGGAAUCUCUUGAAUGAAUGCAUGAAGGUGGAGCCCUUUCCCUUAAUGCGCAGGUGAAAAGGGCACCUCGGUGGAUUCUACUAAAUUUAAUAGAAGACCCAAGACGGGGUGGGGGAGACGUGCUUUGUGCUCACCUGGCUGGUUCAUGGGCAGGUGGCCUGGAGGACCCAGCCCUGGCAGCUGUGGGGUAGCUCCAGCCUGGGCCGGACAGCUUCUUUCAUCGCAGGCACCACUGCGGACAUUGCUGGGAGGAAGAGGAGGGAGAAGCGACGGGCUUCAUUAGGAACGGCUUUCGAUGGAUUGGACGAGGCGCGUCCACCCUGGGGAGGGCCAUCAUUUUAUUCAGUCUACUGAUGCAAAUGCUUAUCUCUUCUGGAAACACCUUCACAGACAGACCCAGAAUAUAGUUGAACCAAAUACUGGGCACCUCAUGGCUCCAACAGGUUGACACAAAAAAUGAACCAUUGCAGAAAACGAAGAACAGUCACCAACUCCCACCCAUGCAGCUGGCUCAUUUGCUGGGCUGCCCUCCCCAGCAGGUGGCACAGGAAUCCCUGCCUUGGCAGGGAGGAGGCCUGGGGUGUGUGCAGGUACCCAUGGGAAGUUUCUUUGCCAUGGGGAAAGCCAGAGUCACCCCUUGCUUGAACACAAGAGUUGGAGGUUUCAGUGAGCUGAGAUUACGCUAUUGCACUCCAGCCUGGGCGGCAGAGUGA